CCUACGGGGGGCUGCAGUGGGGAAUAUUGGACAAUGGGGGGAACCCUGAUCCAGCCAUGCCGCGUGUGUGAAGAAGGCCCUCGGGGUGUAAAGCACUUUCAGUGAGGAAGAACGCCUGGUGGUUAAUACCCAUCAGGAAAGACAUCACUCACAGAAGAAGCACCGGCUAACUCCGUGCCAGCAGCCGCGGUAAUACGGAGGGUGCGAGCGUUAAUCGGAAUUACUGGGCGUAAAGCGCGCGUAGGUGGCUUGAUAAGCCGGUUGUGAAAGCCCCGGACUCAACCUGGGAACGGCAUCCGGAACUGUCAAGCUAGAGUGCAGGAGAGGAAGGUAGAAUUCCCGGUGUAGCGGUGAAAUGCGUAGAGAUCGGGAGGAAUACCAGUGGCGAAGGCGGCCUUCUGGACUGACACUGACACUGAGGUGCGAAAGCGUGGGUAGCAAACAGGAUUAGAUACCCCAGUAGUC
rnacentral:rRNA from 1 species